UACGUAGGGUGCGAGCGUUGUCCGGAAUUAUUGGGCGUAAAGAGCUCGUAGGCGGUGUGUCACGUCGGCCGUGAAAACCCAGGCUUAACCCUGGGCCUGCUUCCGAUACGGGCAGACUAGAGGUAUGCAGGGGGAGAACGGAAUUCCUGGUGUAGCGGUGAAAUGCGCAGAUAUCAGGAGGAACACCGGUGGCGAAGGCGGUCUCUGGGCAUAUCUCGCUGAGGAG
rnacentral:rRNA from 1 species